rnacentral:rRNA from 1 species
UACGGAGGGUGCAAGCGUUAUCCGGAUUUACUGGGUUUAAAGGGUGCGUAGGCGGGCAUGUAAGUCAGUGGUGAAAUACCGGAGCUUAACUUCGGAACUGCCAUUGAUACUAUAUGUCUUGAAUAUUGUGGAGGUAAGCGGAAUAUGUCAUGUAGCGGUGAAAUGCAUAGAUAUAACAUAGAACACCGAUUGCGGAGGCAGCUUGCUACACAAAUAUUGACGCUGAGGCACGAAAGCGUGGGGAUAAAACAGG